UGAGGGAAAGUUGAAAAGAACUUUGAAGAGAGAGUUCAAUAGUACGUGAAACUGUUCAGAGGCAAACGGGUGGGCCCUCGAAAUCCUUCUGCGGGGGGAUUCAGUCGGGAGCGUGAGGAGCGGAUCUCGGACGGACCCCUAAGAAAGGCCGACCGGGAAUUCGCCGUUUCUCUCGGCCCCACGCACUCCCUCCUGCACCGAGGACGCCGCGACCGAUCGGGAGUCGGCCUUGGUGCGACUCCGGGAGGUGACCUGGGAUUGGUCCCGCCCAGUCUUAGGUUUUUAACAGAGUCGUUCUCGACGCGGCACCCGAUCGAGGUACGAACGGUCUCCUGCCGACUCCGGCAGCGGAGCAUCGGGCCAGUGUGCACCGUCGCGAUCGAACCACCCUAGUCGUGGCCGGUUCGACGGGAUGCCGUCGGUGGGCUCGAGCGACCGCGGAUGGCAGAAAGAUUGGUCGGGGCGAGUAGGUCGGUCACCCACCCGACCCGUCUUGAAACACGGACCAAGGAGUCUAACAUGUGCGCGAGUCGCAGGGUCUUGCUCAGUCUCUGGGGCGCAAUGAAAGUGAAGGUCGGGACUCCCGCCUCGGCGGGAAGCACCGACGACCCGUCCGUUCCGAUUCGUCGGAGGGGCGGAGUUGGAGCGUACACGUUGGGACCCGAAAGAUGGUGAACUAUGCCUGGGCAGAACGAACCCGGGGAAACUCUAGUGGACGUUCGCAGCGGUUCUCACAUGCAAUC
rnacentral:rRNA from 1 species